rnacentral:rRNA from 1 species
GAUGAACGCUGGCGGCGUGCUUAACACAUGCAAGUCGAACGAUGAAGCCCAGCUUGCUGGGUGGAUUAGUGGCGAACGGGUGAGUAACACGUGAGUAACCUGCCCUUGACUCUGGGAUAAGCCCGGGAAACUGGGUCUAAUACCGGAUAGGAGCGCCUGUCGCAUGACGGGUGCUGGAAAGAUUUUUCGGUCAUGGAUGGACUCGCGGCCUAUCAGCUUGUUGGUGAGGUAAUGGCUCACCAAGGCGACGACGGGUAGCCGGCCUGAGAGGGUGACCGGCCACACUGGGACUGAGACACGGCCCAGACUCCUACGGGAGGCAGCAGUGGGGAAUAUUGCACAAUGGGCGGAAGCCUGAUGCAGCGACGCCGCGUGAGGGAUGACGGCCUUCGGGUUGUAAACCUCUUUCAGCAGUGAAGAAGCGAAGGUGACGUA